rnacentral:rRNA from 1 species
GACGAACGCUGGCGGCGUGCUUAACACAUGCAAGUCGAACGGAAAGGCCCUGCUUUUGUGGGGUGCUCGAGUGGCGAACGGGUGAGUAACACGUGAGUAACCUGCCCUUGCCUUUGGGUUACCUUCAGGAAACUGGGGCUAAUACCGGAUAGGAGCUCCUGCUGCAUGGUGGGGGUUGGAAAGUUUCGGCGGUUGGGGAUGGACUCGCGGCUUAUCAGCUUGUUGGUGGGGUAGUGGCUUACCAAGGCUUUGACGGGUAGCCGGCCUGAGAGGGUGACCGGCCACAUUGGGACUGAGAUACGGCCCAGACUCCUACGGGAGGCAGCAGUGGGGAAUAUUGCACAAUGGGCGGAAGCCUGAUGCAGCAACGCCGCGUGCGGGAUGACGGCCUUCGGGUUGUAAACCGCUUUCGCCUGUGACGAAGCGUGAGUGACGGUAAUGGGUAAAGAAGCACCGGCUAACUACGUG